AGCUCCAAUAGCGUAUACUAAAGUUGUUGCAGUUAAAAAGCUCGUAGUUGGAUUUCUGCGCGGGUGGGGCGACCGGGUGCUUCAAAUGGCAUCUCGAGUCAGCAACGCCCGCGCAUCCUGCCACGAACCACGCUACCAUUCAUUUGGUGGCGUCUUGGGGACUGGCUCGUUUACUUUGAGAAAAUUUGAGUGUUCAAAGCAGGCAACUCGCCUUGAAAAUUGUAGCAUGGAAUAAUGAUAAAGGACUUUGGUUCUAUUUUGUUGGUGUUCGGGACCGAAGUAAUGAUUGAUAGGGACAGUUGGGGGCGUCUGUAUUCUGAAGCGAGAGGUGAAAUUCUUAGACCUUCGGAAGACAAACAGCUGCGAAAGCGUUCGCCAAGGAUGUUCCCU
rnacentral:rRNA from 1 species